AUUUCUGACUGAGAUAAACAAAGUCUUCACAGAUUCUUUAAGUUCAGAUUUCUCUUACUAAAAAUAGACUAUAUAGGUACCAACCAACCAUCUUACCUUGGCCCGUAGCCACCUGUCGACACAGUGAUAAGAUGUAGGCAGCAGCAGAACUUUGUACCAACUUUAUUCUACCCUUAAUAAACAAGUGAAUAGAACCAUCAAGAUAAUGGUGAGCCACCAGAAGCAGUCCUGGCAGACUAAGAUUGAUAACCAGGACAAGGAGGAACCCCAGUCUCAAAUCAAACAUGGCGUGAGGAAUGCGGCCAAUGAUAAAAUGAUCAAAGGUUAUUUUGAGAAUCAAAGAAGUCUCUGGUUAGAUAAAAUUAACAACCCUGAUCAGGGUGAAGUCAAGAAACCCUAUCGACCCGAUCUUAUCCACUGUGAUGAAAUUAAGCAGGAAUUUAAAGGGAACAUUUCUAUAUGGAAACAAAAGGAAACAGACCAUCGAGAGAAGCAACUAAUGAAUCCAUUUUCAGAAUGGGAAGGUGCUUCUCACAGACCCAAAAUGGAUAUAAACGAUCCAGAAUACGGCAAACCUGUUCCUGGUUCCUUAACAGAAAUCAGAGGGAAGCAAGCGAAUAAUCAUGUUUUUGGUGAAAUUCGUGAACUCUGCCACGCCAUCGAUGCACUUGGUGAGAAGGGGGAGGACGAUAAAAUGAGAAUACCGUUUGGUAGAUUAUUCCAAGCCUACGAAAAGGUGUCCAAUAAACUGGUUGGUAUCUUGAUGAGAGCUAGGAAAAGGGACUGUGUGACUUUUGAGGGGGAGAUGCUUUAUCAGGGUCGCGAUGAAGGUGUUAUGAUUACCCUGCUUGAGAUUCCAGAGGAUACCAGGGAGAAACUCAUUGUUCCCAAAUUUUUAUCCGGUGGAUUUGAAUAACAACGUUUUGUGUGUUAAUUUCACUUCUAAAAUGUUAGUAGAAAGUCUGUGUCCAAACCACAACCACACACUAACUGCGUUAAUUUACUAUACAGAACUGAAAAAUAUUUUUUGAAAAAGUAGCGAUAUAUCAAAAUUGAACAUCAUGAAACUGCGUCAACUGUAGCCCAUCCAGUGCGUUAUUUUUUAUAGAGACUGUGAUUUGUGCCAUAACUAAGCUUCGUUUGUCGUAAAAUAAAAACUACAUUUGUACUACAUAAGUGUUCAAAUCAGUCAAGGCAUCAUACGUUUUUAUACCAUAAUAUUGUAAAGAUUUGUUCUCCAUAUAAACACAGUAAAGCCAAUAGUAUCUAAUACACGGCGAGGGAGGGGAGGGGAGGGGGGGUUAGUGUGUGCGCGCUGUAUCUUAAGGUCUCUCAUUGAGUCAAUUGGUGGGGUUUCGAUUCCCCCGUUGUCGCCUGUCCAACCUCGUGGGUUUUCUCCAGGUCCUCCGUUUUCCUCCUACUGCUAAAGACCCCUACGCGCAUUUUAGACCUCUCUGUUAGUACCGAAAUGUGUCGAGUGGAUGUUAAACUCCAUUUCUCGCUCUCUGUAAUACACGGUGAUUUGUGUCGUUAAAAACCUGCAUUAAUUUAACUAAUGUACUACAGAAAUGGUCAAAAUAUCAUACACUUUGUUCUGUAAAGACUUUUCGAUGUUAGUUAGGUUUAGGUUAAUUGUUAUAAACUAGCAUUUUUUAAUUUUAUAGAAUAGGCAUACAUGCAGAGGCGUAGCCGUGAAAUAUAUAUUGGGGGGGGGGGGCGCAACCCUAACCCCUAACCCUAACCCUAACCUAUUUUUUAAAAUCAUUCAAAAAUAAAAACAAAAACCAUGUGGCCAUGCUGUCUAUAAACCAUAUUGGGAUAUGUACAGGUUUUAUACAGAUAGAAUCUUAACUAAUCCUAAUAAUUGUUGUAAAUAAAUAGGAGUUUGGGCCUACUAUGUAAA